CUACGGAGGGUGCAAGCGUUAUUCGGAAUCACUGGGCGUAAGGGUGCGUAGGCGGUUUGAUAAGUCUGAUGUGAAAUCCUAUGGCUCAACCAUAGAACUGCAUUGGAAACUGUCAGACUAGAAUACUGUAGGGGCAGAUGGAAUUAGUGGUGUAGGGGUAAAAUCCGUAGAUAUCACUAGGAAUACCGAAAGCGAAAGCGAUCUGCUGGGAAGUUAUUGACGCUGAGGCACGAAAGCGUGGGGAGCAAACGGAAUUAGAAACCCUAGUAGUCC
rnacentral:rRNA from 1 species